UACAGGGGGGGCAAGCGUUGUUCGGAAUUACUGGGCGUAAAGGGCUCGUAGGUGGCCAACUAAGUCAGACGUGAAAUCCCUCAGCUUAACUGGGGAACUGCGUCUGAUACUGGAUGGCUUGAGUUUGGGAGAGGGAUGCGGAAUUCCAGGUGUAGCGGUGAAAUGCGUAGAUAUCGUCAAGAACACCGAUAGCGAAGGCAGCUUACCAAGCUGUAACUGACACUGAGGCACGAAAGUGUGGGGAUCAAACAGG
rnacentral:rRNA from 1 species